GAGGAUUGGCGAGGGUGCGGUGGCGGUUCAUCAUGGGUGGCUUUUUCUCAAGUAUUUUUUCCAGUCUCUUUGGAACCAGGGAAAUGAGGAUUUUAAUUUUGGGAUUAGAUGGUGCUGGAAAAAAUGACAAUUUUGUACAGAUUACAGGUUGAAGAAGUUGUUACUACUAUUCCCACUAUUGGAUUUAAUGCAGAGAUGGAGACAUUCAAAAAUCUCAGAUUCCAAGUUUGAGACUUAGAAGGCCAUACAAGUAUCAGGCCAUACUGGAGAUAUUAUUAUUCAAACACAAAUGCAGUCAUCUAUGUCGUUGACAGUUGUGACGGAGACCGAAUUGGCAUUUCCAAGUCAGAGUUAGUUGCCAUGUUGGAGGAAGCCAUUUUAGUGGUGUUUGCAAAUAAGCAGGCCAUGGAGCAGGCCAUGACGCUUUCCGAAAUGGCAAAUGCUCUUGGGUUACCUGCCCUGAAGGACCUGAAGUGGCAGAUCUUUAAAACGUCAGCAAUCAAAGGCACCGGCCUUGACGAGGCAAUGGAGUGGUUAGUUGAAACACUGAAAAGCAGACAGUGAAUCUAUUCACAUCAGCGUGGGUGACCCCAACGCUAUAUCACAUCCUCACUGGAACCAGUCAGGUGUACUUCCCGUGACUGUUGGAACUGUGUGAGUCUGGCAUAUACAGACCUGACUUCAAUAUUUGUAAUAAAUAUAAAAGACAAGUAUUUGGUGAGAGGGUUGGCUUGAUUGAAUCACCCAAAUGGUUUAUGUAAUGUAAAAUAUUCCUUCCUUGUUUUCAUGUGUUAAGGCAUAUAUUCUAUUUGUAUGGAAUUCUUACUCAAAUACAGUUCUAUUAAAGAAAGUACACUCUUAGGGGAAACCUUCCCAUUAUUGAAUUAGUGGUUGCAUCCUGUUUGUAUGAACACUAAUAUUUAGCUCAGACUCUUCCCCUUAAAAUGAAUUAAGGCUUUCCAAAGAUGAGUCUUAGCAAAGUAGAUUAGAAAUAGAGUGUAUAAUCUUCACUGCUUAACUGACUGGUUUAUUUUGUUGGCUCACUUUACUGACUUACAUUAUUUUACAAUACUUAGGGUUGUCAAAAGAAUUGUAUGUAUGUUGACCUUUGUACAGGAACUCUGUAAGGAAGGCGGGUUCUGCUGUGUUGCUUUGUCAGGCCCUAUACAGUGAGGUGGGGUAGGGUUCAGGGUCAGGCUUGUGGGUCAGAAACUUGUGUCCUAGAUCAUACUGUAUCUGGAAACACCAACCCUGGGAACACAGACACCUAGGUGUGGGAGCACACACCUGUAAUCCUAGUACUCAGGAGACAGAGGCAGGAAGACCAAGAGUUCAGCUUUGUGGUGAGUCUGAGGCCAGCCUGGGCUGCUUGAGACUGUGUCUCAAAACAAAAAACCAAUCAACCAACCAAAAAGAUUCUGCUCCAGUAGUUUCAGAUAUUCAAAGUAAUGUUUAUACAAACUCUUGUCUAUGCUAGUAAAAUAAGGGAUACAGUCAGAACGAUCCCAAAUGGCUGUUUGAUGAGUUCACAACACAAUACAAAAACUUCACAUGAAAGAAAUAAAAAGCAAUUUUAAAAAGCA